rnacentral:sRNA from 1 species
UAUUCUACCCUACGGGGAAGGAUGAGAAGCUUCGACCAAGGUUCGACUCGAGCGUAGCGAGAGAACGUUGCCGCAGGCAACGGCCCGAAGGGCGAGGAGCGAUAGCGACGAGUUAUCCUUCCCCCACCACCA